rnacentral:rRNA from 1 species
GACGAACGCUGGCGGCGUGCUUAACACAUGCAAGUCGAACGGAAAGGCCCCUUUGGGGGUACUCGAGUGGCGAACGGGUGAGUAACACGUGAGUAACCUGCCCUUGACUUCGGGAUAACUUCAGGAAACUGGGGCUAAUACCGGAUAGGAAUCCUUGCUGCAUGGUGGGGGUUGGAAAGCUUCGGCGGUUUUGGAUGGACUCGCGGCUUAUCAGCUUGUUGGUGGGGUAGUGGCUUACCAAGGCUUUGACGGGUAGCCGGCCUGAGAGGGCGACCGGCCACAUUGGGACUGAGGUACGGCCCAGACUCCUACGGGGGGCAGCAGUUGGGAAUAUUGCACAAUGGGCGGAAGCCUGAUGCAGCAACGCCGCGUGCGGGAUGACGGCCUUCGGGUUGUAAACCGCUUUCAGCAGGGGCGAAGCUUGUGGUGACGGUACCUGCAGAAGAAGCACCGGCUAACUACGUG